AAGACAGGCAGCUGAGGAGGACUGGCUGACUUUCCCCGGGAUGGAAGAGAGAGGAUGAAGUCUGCAGGCUGCUCCAGGAAUGGGGUGUUCACAGCUUGGCAUGUGUAUGGAAAUUAAAGGAGAGCUUGUAGGAGCUGGAUCCAACCAGUUCCCCAGUUAACAGCUCUUCAUGGGAGAUUUCCUCCAGCAGCAACCUCAGUUCCUGGUGGAAACUGAUCACGAUGCAUCCUAGAGUAGAAUUCAGCUCUGACACUGCAGACGGCCAAUCCUCUGUGUGGAGGGGCUCUGUCCUUACAAGAUGGCUCUAGGUUAAGAUCUGGUCUCAAGUCCAGACCUCUUGUACUUCUGGACAGCCAGCCCUAUAAGUCAAGAAUGCUACAAGCCCCUCUUCAGAGCUGUUAAUUUGCCAGGCUGGUUCACAGGACUCAAGCCAAGCACCUGCCCACAUCUGUGCUUCAUUAUAACGCAUCCAACACAGUGGCAGCCAGAUGCAACAGUGAGACGAGCCCUGCUCUUUGCCUAGGAGACUGACCUGUGCAGACCACAUCAGAGGGUUCGUCUGGCUCCAGUUAGUUUGGGCCUUGGAGGAGCCUGACAGGGAAACAAUAGGAUGGAGGAACUGGGUGCCUAUCACCACGGCUACCUUUCUGCGAGGUCACAGUGGCCCAGCCUUUCCUGAGGCCAGCAGUCCUCUUGAGAAUCUCAUAUAGCCCAGGCUGCCCUGGGACUCACUACAUAGCUGAAGAUGAGCAACUGACUUCAGCCUUCCAACUGCUGUGAUUUGAAGUCAGUGACACUUUUAAUAAAGACAUA